rnacentral:lncRNA from 1 species
CCCUCUCUUAGACCAGCCAAGACCAAAGUAUCAGAAAACCAACUCAAACUUGUUUUAGCAAAUAGAGUGAAUCUAUUAAUUCAUAUAACUUGGAAAGAUAAAGUCAGGUUUCUGGCUUCAGGCGCAACCGAUCGCGCUAACCAGGAGACUACCUGUCCCCCCAGCUGUGACCUUGCUCUCAUCUCUCCUUACACCUUAGCUCUGCUUUCCUCUGUGUCAGCUGCAUUUUCAGACAGUCUCUCUUGCUCAAGAAUAAAGAAAACCUGGCAGUGUAUUUAGGCUUACAGAUUGCCACAAGCGUGUUUUUAACGAGGCACUGCAGCAGAGAGAGAUGCUUGAAACCUACUAUCAAAAACACAGAGCUUUUUGAGGGGGGGGCUGGAAACAAUGGGGCCACGGUGAGACAGAAAGCGAGAAAAAGAAAUAUAACCAGCAGGGACUUUCACUUCUUAAGUGAUUAACAACCAAAGCAUUUUGUGAAUUGUUAAGAAUCCCCACAUUAUUCUUAUUUAAUGACAAGGUUUUAAACAGAUGAAAACUUACUUAACAUAGAAUAUAGGAUGUUCCUAUUUAAAUAAAUUAAAAGAAAAUUCUCUAAGGCACAUCUGAGUGUUUCUUCCUCUCUGGGUUUUCAGGACAUUUAGACAGAAACACCAUAGGCAGCAGCAGGUACCACCGACAAGAAACAAACAAGAAAAAGUGAAAUCAUGUAAUAAAAUACCCGUUAUGUCAAAAAUGUACAAGAGCAUAAAGAGAUACAAAUUGAGCCCAUGAGAAUGCUUGUCUUGUGGACACAUUUAUACAUGGAGGACCCAACCUUGCAAAGAAGAGGAAAGCUUCCUUCUCUGACAGAGGAAAAAAGGGGCCAGAGCGAAAAUCUUUGAGGAGCCAAGAAGCCUCCCAAGGGAAGCAUAUCAAUACCCGGGUACCUGAGAACAUGGGCCAUUUCCAGUGACUCCUGGAGCAAAGGGACAUGGAAGAUGACCAAUGCAGGUCCUGAGCACCCCUCAAGAGCAGGAAAAACGCAUUUGAGGACACUCCGCCACUAACAACAAUCCUGGUCUCGGCAUCCUUCAGACAAGACGAUGCCAUCACAGCACACAAAUACAGUCAGUGAAUCUGUACAUUCACGGUGUCCUUUUUCCGUAACAGGUUCUGCCAGGGUUACGAUGAGAACUGCAAAUGUCGACAGGGAGAUUGACCCAGAAUUGAAGGUUGGCAACAUCUCACAAAGAGAAGGAAGAGCACUCAGCCUUAAAAAAAAGAAUGAAAUCCUGCCAUUUGCAGCAACAUGGAUGGACCCAGAGAUUGUCGUACAAAGUAGAGUUAGACAGUGAGAGACAAAUACCAUAUGACAUCACGCACAUGUGGAAUCGAAAACACAGGAUCUUAAUGAACCUAUUUGCAGAACAGAAACAGACUCAAAGACUUGAGAACAACUUAUGGUUACCAAAGGGAACAGGUGGAGAAGGAGGGAUGGAUAGGGGGCUUGGGAUGGGCAUGUGCACACCUAGGUCUAUGGAAUGACUGGCCAACGGGGACCUGCCGUACAGCACAGAGAACUCAACCCAAUAUUCUGUGCUCAUCUAUGUCGGAAAAGAAUCUGAAAGAGAAUGAAUGUGUGUACCUGUAGAACUGAAUCACUUCGUUGUACACCAGAAAUUACCCCAACAUUGUACAUCAACUCUACUUCAAAAAAUAUUUUAAAUGGAAAAAAAUAGAAAUGGGAAAAAAGAGAAUUAAGAGUGCAAUUAUUUGUGGGAAUUUAUGGGACUGUGACUCCAGGUAGGAAGGCAUGUUUCUGUCCCUGUCCUCGGGCUUCUUUCUGCAUCAGCCAAACAGAACUAGCCUUCCUCUGCUCAACUGCUUCUUCUCAGAAAGAGAGAGGAGUAAACUAAUGUGAUUCUUCUCUAGCCCCUUUCUCUCUCUAUUUGGGGCAUGGUUAUCUGCCCAGAGGGAGUGCCUGCCUGGCUUAGCCUGAGGUGAUACCCCCCCCAGGAAAAGGGGAGGGGGGAAUGAGGGGAGCUUUUGAAGUUGGUGAGAGUGGCAGUGUCAGCUCAGCAAAGUGUUAAGAUUGGGUGCACUGAAAAGUUCCCAUUGUGGCUCAGCAGAAACAAACCCAACUAGCAUCCAUGAUGUGGGUUCGAUCUCUGGCCCUGCUCAGUGGGUUAAGGAUCUGGUGUUGCCAUGAGUUACAGUGUAGGUCGUAGAU